rnacentral:rRNA from 1 species
UACAGAGGGUGCGAGCGUUGUCCGGAAUCACUGGGCGUAAAGGGCGCGUAGGCGGCCUGAUAAGUAGGGGGUGAAAGUCGGGGGCUCAACCCUCGGAUGCCGGUGGAUACUGUCGGGCUUGAGUACGGAAGAGGCGAGUGGAAUUCCUGGUGUAGCGGUGAAAUGCGCAGAUAUCAGGAGGAACACCGAUUGCGAAGGCAGCUCGCUGGGACGUUACUGACGCUGAGGCGCGAAAGCUAGGGGAGCAAACGGG